UCGGGGCCGCACGCGCGYUACAUUGAAGAAAUCAGCGUGUUCUCUCCCGGUCCGGAAGGAUCGGGUAACCCGUUGAACCUCCUUCGUGCUGGGGAUAGGAGCUUGAAACUGUUCUCCUUGAACGAGGAAUUCCCAGUAAGCGCGAGUCAUGAGCUCGCGUUGAUUACGUCCCUGGCCUUUGUCCACACCGCCCGUCGCUACUAUCGAUUGAAUGAUUUAGUGAGGUCUUCGGACUGGCUCCCGGACUGGCCCAGCGCCGAGCCGGAGUGCCGGAAAGAUGACCGAACUUGACCAUUUAGAGAAAGUAAAAGUCGUAACAAGGUUUCC
rnacentral:rRNA from 1 species